GGCCCACAGAGGACAGCCACUCUCCUCGAUUCUUCCCUCCCAAUAAAUCUCUUGAAAGAGGUUUGGGUGAAACCUUUCUUUCCCUGGAGCAGAGACGACCCUGGGUGGAACCGCUGGGGUAAGCCUUCCCCUGGCGAACUGAAGUUGUUACACUCUGGGGACCGGAGCUGAAGUGUAACAACUUCCCGGGGAAGCCCUCUCCUGCAGGAGCAGAGCGGAUACCCUGAGGCAGGGCUGUGAGCUGCUGUGUAGUCCUUGGCUCCCAGUGCCAGAAUCCCUUUCCAUCCCAGCUUCCAUCCCAGCGGUAACACCCAGUAUUCUGUGACUCCGGAAUGCCAGCGGUGGAAAUGCUGACACUGGCGCAUGGCCGCUGGGACCACAACGCGGGAGCGGCCCACCCACCGCACAGGCCCGGGUCGGGAGACAGUGACCUUUGAGGAUGUGGCUGUGAACUUCACCCCAGGAGAGUAGACUUUGUUGGAUUCCAGUCAAAAGAAGCUCUACAGAGAUUUGAUGAAGGAAACCUUUAUGAACCUGCUCUCCAUACAUUAAAAAUAAAUAAAUAAA